rnacentral:lncRNA from 1 species
GAGUUAGCGCUUGUUAAGUGAACCUUGGUGACUAUGGAGUUAGCGCCUGAUAACUAUGGAUUUAGUACUUGAUAAAUAAACUUUGGCAGCAAUGGAAUUCGUGCCAAUUCCUUACGAAUAAAUGAAUGAAGGAUAGUUGGUUCUUAGGGUAAAACCUUAAGAAGAUAAUGGGGAUGGGUAAUUGGGUUGAUUGUUUGCUGAUUAAAUAUAAUAAUUAUAUUAUUGUGGGUUGAAAACCCUAUAUGCUCACCAGGCUCCCAAGCCUGACCCACUCAGUUUUCUUUUCAUUACAGGUAAUGGCACAAGGGUAUAAGUUGGUGGACUUGACGAGAGAUUUUGGAUUAUAGAUCAGUAGUUAAAUAACUAUUGUAAGGUCUAUUUUAUAUUGUUUAUGCUUUUGGUCUGUAACGAACAUGACAUCCCGAGUUUUUAUUAUUUAAUGAAAAUACAUUCUUUUCGAGAAAUGUUUUGAUAAAUGGUUAUCAUAUUUUAUUUUGGGAACAAAUUCCGCAACCGUUUUCUUUAAACGAUCACUCUGAUUUAUAAAACAAAGCAUAAACAAAUCGGUCUUUUCUGGCCGUGAAAUUGGGGAUGUCACAGUUGGUAUCAGAGCAUUAGUUUAAGCGAACUAGGAAUAUGGAUUUAUUUCUAGACUUAAACUUAGAAUGCUAAGCAAUGAUUGUGAGUUGAGUGUGUCCAUUAUAUUUUAGGUAGUACACCUAAAUUGACACAGGCACUAUUUUAUUUUAGGAAAAUUGCCUAAAAUGCUAUUAUGUGCUAAUUGUUAUAUGUUUGCCAUAUAUGAUGUUAAUUGUUCGGAUCUAUGGUCUGUUGCCGACCGGAUCUGGAAACCUUAUGUGUUUAGGAUUCUAAGCGUGCGUCUACGAUAUUAGAACUAGCAUGUAAACGUUUCGGAGUGAUAAGGAUGAUUUGAAUAUCUAUCGUGACUAAGGAUCUAAUUUCACCUUAUUCGGUGUAUAGAUCAAAAAUGGUGAGAACGAGGAGUGGAGUUGGAAAUGCUGAUGAAAACAGGAAUCAAAUACCAGUGAUUGAACAAAUACCUGUUGUAGCAGCAGCGCCUGAACCAAUGACAAUGGCCGGAGUUCAAGUGAUGAUCCAGGCAAUGUUGAAUAAUCAGAUGGAAGAAACCAGACGUCUGAUCAGGCAGAAUCGCGAGGAAUUGUCAAUUCAAGUUGAAGAGCCCGAAGUAAAUGGAGGGCAGUCUGAAGGAGGAAACUAUAGUGGGACCGUUGGUCAAGCCAACCCACCAAUAGUUCGCCAAAACAACCAGGAUAGAGGAAAUGAUGGACGUGGAUGCAAGUACAAGGAUUUCAUGGCAUCCAAACCACCAUGUCUUUCUGGGAGCCCGACACCGGUGCAAGUCAUGGACUGGAUCUCCGAAAUGGAGACAAUGUUUGAAAGUUGCGAGUGUAGCAACAGACAGAAGACCGCUCUUGCAAUCCCUCUGUUAAAAUCUGGAGUAUUGAGCUGGUGGAAGUUACUGGCUGGUUCGAUGCCCAAGGGGGAAGCUAGCAAGAUGUCUUGGGAAGAAUUCGUGGUGCAACUGAAAUUGCAAUGCUGCUCUGAGCAAGAUCUUCUGGAAAUCAACAAUGAGUUCCAGAAUCUGAAGAAAGGAAAAUUGAGCGUUACUGAAUACGCUACGAGCUUUACGGAGAAGAUGAAGCUUAUUCCAUACCUAAUUCCGACUGAACUUUCCAAGGUCAACAAGUUUGCCAAUGGAUUACCAGCGGACUUUGGUCCGAUAGUCAAACAAGCAACCACUCUGAAAGCCGCCAUCUGGGCAGCCAAAAAUGUUGAGACCCAAAUAAAAGAAAAGGGUCUGGAAAGGGCUGAAGUUGGAGAGAAAAGGAAGCGUGAAGGAUCUUCAAUAAUCGACAAAGAAAGUAAAUUCUCGAAAUCUGGGGGAAGAGAUGAAGCUAAGUGGUGUGAGAAGUGUAAGAAGAAACACUUCGGGAAAUGUAGCGAGGAGAUGACUUGCUACAAAUGUGGGAAGACAGGGCACUAUGCCAACAAGUGCGCACCUAACAAGAAGAUGUGCUAUAGGUGUAAUGAAGAAGGUCAUAUUUCUAAAGACUGCCCACAGAAAAACACACCUCCACAGCCAAGGGCAUUCAACAUGUUCCUCAACGAAGCAGAAAGGGAUGGGAGGGUUAAAGGAUGAAGACUUCAUAUUAAUAUAUAAAGUCGGUAAAGUCUGUAUCAGGAAGCAUAGCCUGUUAGAGGCAUAGUAUAGGGUGAACUUGAACUUUUGUGUAAUAGUUUCAAGAAUUAAUAUAAAUCCUAGUUUUGUUAUCUGAUGUGUUGAAUGAUUAUAUGAUUUAUGUAUGGUGACUUGGUUAACUGCGAGACAAUACUUGGGACGAGUAUGAGUAGGUGUGAAUGGUAGUAGAGAUCUAUACUACCGGAAGCACAGGACUCACGCUUGGAUCAGGGGAAGUCACAAGGUUAUCAAGAAGCUAGUAAUUGAUUCCGUUUUAUUCAAGUAUGUCAUUACCAUUGUUUCGGUAAUGUCUAGUAAGAUAGUUGUUAUUCCGACCCUAGGGGUCAUAUCAAUUGAGUCCGACUAUGAUGAGAGGUCAUCGGGACACGACCCAUCAGGGUUAUUACUUAGAAUGGAGAGAUAACUUAUGGAGUCAGUAUGCGAAUCCUAUUUCGUUGAUGAUUCCGGGACGUAAUCAUCCUAAGGGGGAGAUAAUUGUAACGCCCGUAGAUCAGGGCUAGUCAAUUUAGAGACAAUAAGAGUCAAAAAUGACUUUUUGAUAGAAGAUUAUUUAGGAUGAAUAAUCCUAACUAAGUUGUAGUAUAUGUUACAAGGUUUCCGUGCAUAUAAAGAACGCCAAAAUCCGAGUUAUAACGAAGAAGUUAUGACCUGUCGAAGUUUCGCGACAGAACCGGCACGACACAGCGCGACGUAAAAAGUGAAUUUACGUUAGAGCGAUAUUUAGCCUUAGCAAUCUAAACGAGAAUCGAAGAUCUCGUUGUUGGUAUCGAAGCGAUAAAAAGUUAGGCGAGAACGGACGUCAAACGAAGAAGUUAUGAAUUUAUAACGAAGUUUUCUGUCGCGGCCUAUUAAAAAUAAAUAAUAAAAAUAAAAGUCAAAAUUAGCCGACGGAGUCUAAACGAAAGUUGUAGAGCGUAGUCUCACCUUCGCGUGGAUAUAAAGAACGUCGAAAACGGAGUUCGUAUGAAGAAGAUAUGAAUUUCCGAAGUUUAUUAAUCAAUUUGUAUUUAAAUUUAAAAGGAAAUUCGGAAGCAUUAUCCGAAGGAGUCACCGGUCUGAUCCGAGGUACGCGCCGCGUACUCGAGUACGCCCCGCGUACUCCGAAGUGUCGACAUUCGCAGCAAGUGGCUUCGGAUGACGCACGCAGUGACGUUUUUCGGACCAGUACGCCCCGCGUACUGGCGUACGCCCCGCGUACUCCGAGGCUCCAGCCUCCUAUAAAUAGGAUGCGAGGGCAGCCGACCCAAUUGCCAAUUUCUUCUCUUCUCUCUCCCGUUUUGCAUCGUUUUGCGUGCCAGAAAUACCCCGAAGCCCCGGUAUUAUACCCUAGCCCCGAGGCAAGUCCCGAGAUCCCGAAGAUCCCGAAAAGUGCGGUUCCCGAGUCGAAGCUCUGCCCGCGAGAAGUUUGAUUUUCGAGGAGAUCUUCCAGAUCUGCUGAGGAAUACUACUUCUAUAAGCCGUAGUGCUGUCGGAUCGUCUUCUGAUCAAGUGAGUGUGUAGUUAUUUCUUCUAAUACAAUAAUACGAAGUAUUUUAUAUAAAAAUACGUGCUAUGUGUAUAUAUUUGGUUGUGUUAUGUGUGAAUGAGUAUUCACUCUCUUCUAUCUUAUAGAUCUGCUUAUUUCUUUAUGAGAUAUGUGUUAUGUGUGUGUGUCUCAUCUGUUAUGUGACAUAUGUGUUGAUUAAAGCAUGCUAUACAGGUUUUCUUUAAACUACGUAUACAAAUGUAUAUUUUUAUCUACUAAUAUUGUUGGGUAGAACAUGGGUAGAUGGGUUAGUUGGUGACUAUGGAGUUAGCGCCUGCUGUUAGAUAAACCUUGGUGACUAUGGAGUUAGCGCCUGCUGUUAGAUAAACCUUGGUGACUAUGGAGUUAGCGCCUAUUGUAUAAACCUUGGCGACGAUGUGACUUCGUGCCUAUUUGAUGAACCUUGGCGACUAUGGAGUUAGCGCACGUUGAGUAAACCUUGGCGACUAUGGAGUAUGGAGUUAGCGCUUGUUGAGUAAACCUUGGCGACUAUGGAGUUAGCGCUUGUUGAGUAGACCUUGGCGAUUAUGGAGUUAGCGCUUGUUAAGUGAACUUUGGUGACUAUGGAGUUAGCUCCAGAUAACUAUGGAUUUAGUACUUGAUAAAUAAGCUUUGGCGGCAAUGGAAUUCGUGCCAAAUUCCUUAUGAAUAAAUGAAUGAAGGAUAGUUGGUUCUUAGGGUAAAACCUUAAGAAGAUAAUGGGGAUGGGUAAUUGGGUUGAUUGUUUGCUGAUUACAUAUAAUAAUUAUAUUAUUGU